rfam:Candidatus Nitrospira nitrificans, isolate COMA2 genome assembly, contig: COMA2_Contig_12
GUAGCGCCCGCUCGAAAGGGCGGGCGAGGAUUGAAAC